rnacentral:rRNA from 1 species
AUUGAACGCUGGCGGCAGGCCUAACACAUGCAAGUCGAACGGUAACAUUUCUAGCUUGCUAGAAGAUGACGAGUGGCGGACGGGUGAGUAAUGCUUGGGAACUUGCCUUUGCGAGGGGGAUAACAGUUGGAAACGACUGCUAAUACCGCAUAAUGUCUUCGGACCAAACGGGGCUUCGGCUCCGGCGCAAAGAGAGGCCCAAGUGAGAUUAGCUAGUUGGUAAGGUAACGGCUUACCAAGGCGACGAUCUCUAGCUGUUCUGAGAGGAAGAUCAGCCACACUGGGACUGAGACACGGCCCAGACUCCUACGGGAGGCAGCAGUGGGGAAUAUUGCACAAUGGGGGAAACCCUGAUGCAGCCAUGCCGCGUGUGUGAAGAAGGCCUUCGGGUUGUAAAGCACUUUCAGUUGUGAGGAAAAGUUAGUAGUUAAUACCUGCUAGCCGUGACGUUAACAACAGAAGAAGCACCGGCUAACUCCGUGCCAGCAGCCGCGGUAAUACGGAGGGUGCGAGCGUUAAUCGGAAUUACUGGGCGUAAAGCGCACGCAGGCGGUUUGUUAAGCUAGAUGUGAAAGCCCCGGGCUCAACCUGGGAUGGUCAUUUAGAACUGGCAGACUAGAGUCUUGAGAGGGGAGUGGAAUUCCAGGUGGUAGCGGUGAAAUGCGUAGAUAUCUGGAGGAACAUCAGGUGGCGAAAGGCGACUCCCGGGCCAAAGGACUGACGCUUCAGGUGCCAAAGUGUGGGGUAGCGAACAGGAUUAAGAUACCCUGGUA